UACGAAGGGGGCUAGCGUUGCUCGGAAUCACUGGGCGUAAAGCGCACGUAGGCGGCUUACUAAGUCAGGGGUGAAAUCCUGGAGCUCAACUCCAGAACUGCCUUUGAUACUGGUGAGCUUGAGUCCGGGAGAGGUGAGUGGAACUGCGAGUGUAGAGGUGAAAUUCGUAGAUAUUCGGAAGAACACCAGUGGCGAAGGCGGCUCACUGGUCCGGUACUGACGCUGAGGUGCGAAAGCGUGGGGAGCAAACAGG
rnacentral:rRNA from 1 species